AACGAACGCUGGCGGCAUGCCUAACACAUGCAAGUCGAACGAGAUCUUCGGAUCUAGUGGCGCACGGGUGCGUAACGCGUGGGAAUCUGCCCUUGGGUUCGGAAUAACAGUGAGAAAUUACUGCUAAUACCGGAUGAUGUCUUCGGACCAAAGAUUUAUCGCCCAAGGAUGAGCCCGCGUAGGAUUAGGUAGUUGGUGGGGUAAUGGCCUACCAAGCCGACGAUCCUUAGCUGGUCUGAGAGGAUGAUCAGCCACACUGGGACUGAGACACGGCCCAGACUCCUACGGGAGGCAGCAGUGGGGAAUAUUGGACAAUGGGCGAAAGCCUGAUCCAGCAAUGCCGCGUGAGUGAUGAAGGCCUUAGGGUUGUAAAGCUCUUUUACCAGGGAUGAUAAUGACAGUACCUGGAGAAUAAGCUCCGGCUAACUCCGUGCCAGCAGCCGCCGUAAGAC
rnacentral:rRNA from 1 species